rnacentral:rRNA from 1 species
GACGAACGCUGGCGGCGUGCUUAACACAUGCCAGUCGAACGGAAAGGCCCUGCUUUUGUGGGGUGCUCGAGUGGCGAACGGGUGAGUAACACGUGAGUAACCUGCCCUUGACUUUGGGAUAACUUCAGGAAACUGGGGCUAAUACCGGAUAGGAGCUCCUGCUGCAUGGUGGGGGUUGGAAAGUUUCGGCGGUUGGGGAUGGACUCGCGGCUUAUCAGCUUGUUGGUGGGGUAGUUGCUUACCAAGGCUUUGACGGGUAGCCGGCCUGAGAGGGUGACCGGCCAAAUUGGGACUGAGAUACGGCACAGACUGCUACGGGAGGCAGCAGUGGGGAAUAUUGCACAAUGGGCGGAAGCCUGAUGCAGCAACGCCGCGUGCGGGAUGACGGCCUUCGGGUUGUAAACCGCUUUCGCCUGUGACGAAGCGUGAGUGACGGUAAUGGGUAAAGAAGCACCGGCUAACUACGUG